UUAAUAAAGAAUUAAGCAACAGGAUUUAAGGCAGGAAGGAAUAGGCUACCUCUACUGUUCUGUGCAGAUGCAGUCAGGGUUGUCCUUAUCUGUAAUGCUACUCAGCUCAGAGCCUUGAAGGGAAAAAAAGACCAGGUGCCAAUCUUUUGGUUAUACGACAAGAGGACAACAGAACUCUUCUUCUGGAUUGGUUCCAUCAAUGUUCCUGAAGUUAGGAAAUACCUUGCCAGUAAGUGACAGCCAGGCUUUUUUUUUUUUUUAAUGUUUAUUUUUUUUUGUAAUCUCUACACCCAAUGUGGGGCUUGAACUCACCACCCCAAGAUCAAGAACUGCAUGCUGUUCCUACUGAGCCAGACAGGAUCUCUAGUAAGUGACUGCCUUUUAAAGUUCUUAUGAUACUGGACAAUGUCCCUACUCACCCAGAACUCCAUGAGCUCAUCACAGAAGGCAUCAAAGUGGUUUACUUACCCACAAACACAAUUAUCUCUAAUUCAGUCUCUAGAUCAGGGGGUCAUUAAGACCUUUAGGGUUCAUUACACAUAAUACUCUAUGGAAAGGAUAGUCAACACUAUGGAAAAGAACCCUGAAAGGGAAAACAUUAUGAAAGUCUGGAAGGAUCACAUCAUUGAAGAUUCAAUCAUUGUUAUAGAAAAAGCCAUGAAAGCAUCAAGCCAGGAACAAUAAAUUCCUGCUGGAGAAAGCUGUGCUCAGAUGUUAAACAUGACUUCAAAGGAUUUACAACAGGGCCAGCCAUAGAGAUUAUAUAUGGCAAAAAAAGGUGGAGGGUGAGAGUUUCAAGGAUCUUAGAGAAAUUCAAGAGCUAAUAGACACCACACCAGAAAAAUGAACAGAAGACAACUUGAUGGAAAUGAAUGCUUUGGAAAUAGUGCCAGACGAUGAGGAAGGAGACAAAGAAGGAGUCACAGAAGCCAGAAAACAAGUUGAUGUUAGACAAUCUGGCAGAAGGGUUCUGAUUAUUCAAGACCGCUUGUGACUUCUACAACAUGGACCCUUCUAUGAUACAGGCACCGAAACUAAAACAAACGGUGGAAAAACAAUUGAUACUGGAUAGAAGCAUUUUUAGAGAAAUGAAAAUACAAAAAGUCAGAAGUUGCGAUGUAUUUCCAUAAAGUUACACUGAGUGUGCCUGCCUCUCCUGCCUCCCCUUUGACCUCUUCCACCUCUGCCAGCCCUGAGAUAGCAAGACCGAUCCUUCCUUUCUCCACCUCCUCAGCCUACUCAAUGUGAAGAUGAUGAGGAUGAAAACCUUUAUGGUGAUUCACUUCCAUUUAAUAAUCAAUCAUGCUGUACAGCCAACAAACUUAUGUGUUAUGCAUAUAUGUGAGUGUCUUCAUAUGAAAAUCUAACAACUGUACAAUAAUUGUGUGAGACAUUUUGUGUCACCAUUACCAUCAUCGCCUAAGUGCUCAUCAUGUAGAACACUGCAUGUGAAACCUGUAUGGGAGUGGAGAGCCUAUCCUCACAUAGACAUAAGAAUUAUCCGAUGGAAAAAAGACAGUCUCUUUAACAAAUGGUGCUGGGAGAACUGGACAGCAACAUGCAGAAGAAUGAAACUAGACCACUAACUUACACCAUUCACAAAAAUAAACUCAAAAUAGAUGAAGGACCUGAAUGUGAGACAGGAAACCAUCAAAACCCUAGAGGAGAAAGCAGGAAAAAACCUCUCUGACCUCAGCUGCAGCAAUUGCUUACUUGACACAUCUCCAAAGGCAAGGGAAUUAAAAGCAAAAAAUGAAUUGGGACCUCACCAAGAUAAAAAGCUCUGCACUGAAAAGGAAACAAUCAAUAAAACUAAAAGGCAAUCGAUGGAAUGGGGAAAGAUAUUUGCAAAUGACAUAUCAGACAAAGGGCUAGUAUCCAAAAUCUAUAAAGAGCUCACCAAACUCCACACCCCAAAAAUAAAUAAUCCAGUGAAGAAAUGGGCAGAAGACAUGAAUAGACACUUCUCUAAAGAAGACAUCCAGAUGGCCAAGAGGCACAUGAAGAGAUGCUCAACGUCACUCCUCAUUAGGGAAAUACAAAUCAAAACCACACUGAGAUACCACCUCAUGCCAGUCAGAGUGGCUAAAAUGAACAAAUCAGGAGACUAUAGAUGCUGGCGAGGAUGUUGAGAAACAGGAACCCUCUUGCAAUGUUGGUGAGAAUGCAAACUGGUACAGCUGCUCUGGAAAACAGUGUGGAGGUUCCUCAAAAAAUUAAAAAUAGAUCUACCCUAUGACGCAGCAAUAGUACUGCUAGGAAUUUACUCAAGGGAUACAGGAGUGCUGACGCAUAAGGGUACUUAUACCCCAAUGUUUAUA